AUCGAAAGUCGUGGGGGUUUGUUGUGUUACUUUUCAUCAGAUUAUCAGUUAAUUGAAAUUACAUAUAACUCCAGAGAAGAGACACCACUUCAGAAUUGGAACAUCAUGUUGAUUGAUCAAUUCAAAUUCAAAUAGUCACUUAUGCUCUUUUUGGACAUAUGAUAUAUUUAUUCAAGCAAGCAUCAAUUAGAAACUGUAUUGCAGAAUGUGAUCAAUCGAAGAAGAUUAUAUUUUGAAGAUUAUUCCUUCCCUUUUUAAAUUAUAUUUAAAUUUUUUUGGAUCUAGACUCCUCUAAAAAAAUCUUUAAAUUUUUACAUAUCGAACAAUUUUUGUGGUUUUGUUUAUUUCUGAAAUUAUUGUGUAAUUCUUCGAAUGAAAUACGUAUUUCAUACAAUGUA